rnacentral:rRNA from 1 species
UACGUAGGGGGCAAGCGUUGUCCGGAUUUAUUGGGCGUAAAGAGCGUGUAGGCGGUUUGGUAGGUCCGUUGUGAAAACUCGAGGCUCAACCUCGAGACACCGAUGGAAACCAUCAGACUAGAAGUCCGGAAGAGGAGAGUGGAAUUCCUGGUGUAGCGGUGAAAUGCGCAGAUAUCAGGAAGAACACCCGUGGCUAAGGCGGCUCUCUGGGACGGUACUGACGCUGAGACGCGAAAGCGUGGGGAGCGAACAGG